rnacentral:rRNA from 2 species
ACCCGCUGAACUUAAGCAUAUCAAUAAGCGGAGGAAAAGAAACCAACCGGGAUUACCUCAGUAACGGCGAGUGAAGCGGUAACAGCUCAAAUUUGAAAUCUGGCUCUUCCGGAGUCCGAGUUGUAAUUUGUAGAAGAUGCUUUGGGAGGUAGGGCCGGCCUAAGUUCCUUGGAACAGGACAUCAGAGAGGGUGAGAAUCCCGUAUGUGGCCGUGGCCUACGCCCGUGUAAAGCUCUUUCGACGAGUCGAGUUGUUUGGGAAUGCAGCUCAAAAUGGGUGGUAAAUUUCAUCUAAAGCUAAAUAUUGGCCAGAGACCGAUAGCGCACAAGUAGAGUGAUCGAAAGAUGAAAAGCACUUUGGAAAGAGAGUUAAACAGUACGUGAAAUUGUUGAAAGGGAAGCGCUUGCAACCAGACUUGGGCGUCGUCGAUCAUCCGGGGUUCUCCUCGGUGCACUCGACGAGGCACAGGCCAGCAUCGGUUUGGAUGGUUGGAGAAAGGCCCUAGGAACGUAGCUCUCUUCGGGGAGUGUUAUAGCCUAGAGCGCAAUGCAGCCCAUCCGGACCGAGGACCGCGCCUUUGGCUAGGAUGCUGGCGUAAUGGUUGCAAGCGACCCGUCUUGAAACACGGACCAAGG